UCCGGCAGCUAGCUCUCUGCAACUCUCACAUGGUCCCCCACUGAAAUUAAGCAGGGCUGCGCCCGGUUAUUACCUGGAUGAGAGACCACAUGGGAAAGCUAGGUUGUUGCCGGAA
rfam:Danio rerio chromosome 9 genomic contig CTG875, GRCz11 reference primary assembly.